rnacentral:rRNA from 1 species
UACGUAGGGUGCGAGCGUUGUCCGGAAUUAUUGGGCGUAAAGGGCUCGUAGGCGGUCUGUCGCGUCGGGAGUGAAAACUCAGGGCUUAACCCUGAGCCUGCUUCCGAUACGGGCAGACUAGAGGUAUGCAGGGGAGAACGGAAUUCCUGGUGUAGCGGUGGAAUGCGCAGAUAUCAGGAGGAACACCGAUGGCGAAGGCAGUUCUCUGGGCCGUAACUGACGCUGAGGAGCGAAAGCGUGGGGAGCGAACAGG